UAUACUUACCUUGAUUUCUUGACUUUGAUUCAAUGAAGGUGAGCCAUGUGCACUCAGAUCCUGGCUGGCUGAAGGAAGCUCCUUAGAGCUUUGAGCAGCACAGUGCUGACCACCACCGGAGUCACUAAGCUGUGCAGAAGAGUCUGACCUUAUUUGAGGCUUGCAAGCAGAAGAAUAUCCAUUUCUCCAUUGAUUUAGAGUAUUACUACAUACUGCAACAAAUGGAAAGGAAAUACAAAGUUUUAUUUAGCUCCUUAACACAAAUAAUGAACACAUUAGUCUAUCUACUUACAGCAGAAUAUUAAUUACAUGUAAUUACAAAGAUACAUAUAAUGAGAUGAAUACUUAACAUACCAAUACAGAAUACUCCUAAACUGAAAAUACCCAGAAUAAGAUUCCUUAUAAACAUCUUCACGGAGUGCCCGGUUUCCUAUAUUUGCUCCGUUAUUCGAAGGGGAUGAAUAGGAAAGGUGCUAGGUUCUCAAAGUCUUCUAAAUUACAAAGUUUCAUACAGAAUACUGCCUCAGAUCUGUAAAUAUUGGCUGAGUAUUAUCUGAAAUCCUUAAGUUAGUUCCUGCUCACCCUUAAAUCAAGAAAUAACUCAGGAGCAAGUAAGAAUCUACAGAAUCAGAAUAGACUGGGGAGCAAGAACCAGAUUUCAUCAACCUCUGACAGUGUAAUACUAUUUUUUCACUUUUUUAAAGCAAUGCAUUUUUAAAAACUAUGUCUCUGACUCAGUUGCCUUAUCUAUUUACAGAGAUAAUAGCUUUCAUGGGAUUAUAACUGAAUAAAUUCUUAUAAUAAUUAGAAGGAUAUCUGAAUGAUAAGUAUACAAUAAAUAUUUUAGUUUCAUCAUGAUUAUUGUUGCCUCUCUGAACCACAGUGUCCACUACUGGAUUAAUAACCAAAUCGGCUUCUGUUUUCAAGGGUUUGGAGAUGUGGAAAGGAAUAGAGAAAUAGAUCAGUAGGCUGAAAUGCCAGAUUCUCACUGACAAUGAAAAAAAGGAGCAUGGCCUACUGACAGUUACCACUACUAAUGUAAAGAAGGCAAAGCACUCUAAAAAUGAUAGAUGCGGUUUUUUAGACAUAGACACAUUCACAUAUCUGCGCAUCCACAUUAACAAGCAAAAGGGAAAAUGUAAGUAGAGCAGAAUUUUGAGGGAUCUCUGGAAGACUAAUACCACAUGGAAAUUUGAAAAGCAAACUCAGUGCAAAAGCACAUGAAAAGUACUGCCACAAAAAUGUGAUCCUCAUCAAAGAUGCUCUAAGAGCUGGAAGGAAGGGAAACGGACCAGGACAAUUAUCUGGAACACCUGAUAGGAUAACUACACAGGCCAACACCUCAACUGGGGUCCUUGAUUGGUGAUCUGUUUAGUAGAUGACAAAAUCUGAGAGUCUUGAGCAGAGAAAUGGAUGGGUGGGCUCAAGUGCCCCACUUUAAAACAUGUCCUGCCCAUCCCUAACUGCCUCUGAAAAUAAUCUCUAUCCCUUCCAUAAAAGGGAGCCCAUAAAAAGCAGGGGCAAAACAGUUGGAAGAGUGAAUAUUAAUUUUUUAAGACUCCAAAAAUGUAUCAACACCACAAACAAGUGGUACAAAUAACAAAUGGAAGAAUCAACUUAAAAAAAAAACAUGGAUUCACAGAACACAAAUUAGCAGAUCUUUAAAACAACUAAUAUUGCCAGAAACAACAGAAAAAAGGCCUCUCUAGAGAGACAUCAUAAAUGGAAAAUAUAAUUCAAAUUUAAAAACAAUCAUCAGUAACUGGGUUGACAGAGCGGACACACAGCUGAAAAUCAACAUCACUGGGUUGGAAAAGAAAUUGCACAACUCGAACAGAGUGAUGGAAAAUAGGAAAAACAGGACAAACCAAAAUUGGGUAAAUAACGAAUGGGAGGCAAUAAUUGAAGAAAUGAUAGCUAAAAUUUUUUCUACAGUUGAUACUAACCCUAAGAUUUCAAGAACUCAUUUGCAUGGCAAAGCAAAUGGAAGGAAAAUCAUAAUCUUACAGCACAUCACAAGAUAUUCUAAAAGGCAAGAAGGGAUGAAGAGAUUGAAGAUGAGAAAUUGACAAUGCAAAACUAGAUACAGGAAAACAACACUGGCUUUAAAGCACUCGGGGAAAAUGGUAGAAUUCUAAGAUGGCCCCCCAACUUACACCCAGAUGCUUGAAUUCAGAGAUGUUAAAUUGAACAAAUAAGCUGACAGGCAUAAUUCUAAUAAACUCAUUUCUAAAAAGGGGUAACUAGAAUUGUAUUAGGUUUUAAAAUGUAUAUGUGCAAGGCACAUGUAGGUGUUCCAAUACUGCCCACUAUUUUAAUGGAAACGUUUGUGGAGUACUUUAAAGCAAAUUUCAGACAAUUCACUCCUAAGAGCAGAUUCACCACUCUCCUUGCCUUCUAAAACACAUCAAACAUUUUGAAGAAACCUUAAGUAUGGUGACAGUUUACUGAAUUUUACUCUGAAGUGUUUACCCUUGCCUUUUUCUCAUGCUGUAGUAUCUUGUAAGGUCACAAUGGAUUCUUGAAACAGUAGGAAAAUCUAUCAGUUGAGUUUAACUCCACACAUUCUCUUCACCUGCCAUAUUUAUAAUGACCCUCUCAAGCUUUCAGUUCUUGCUCUCCCAAUCCUAGAUUCCUUUUAAAAGACAGGUGAGCCCAGUAUCUCUAUCCCUUGCCUUCCCAUCCUUCACAUAUAUUUAUACAGUAACUUUUUAGAAAGCCAAUUACAUGCCAGGCACUAUGUUUUGCCCUGGAAACAAUGAUGAGUAAAAACAGGCAUGGUUCCUGCUCCUGGUGUAGUUUACAGGCAUUUUCUCAAAAACUGCAACCAAUGUGAUAUAGAAAAUAAAUACUAUUUAUAGACGUUACUAAGAGUACAUAAUAGAGAUUUCUAGGACUGGCUUCCCCAGGUAAAGUGAUAGAUUUCAACUAUGAACAGAAAUAGCUGGUGGCCAGGAGAAGGAUGGGAGAAUGGAAUGUACAAAGGCCCAAGGUAGCAGGGAGCAGGACAAAUUUGGUGCAUAGAUGGUGUAGAGUAAGGAAGCAUGGUGAAAACUAAACAGGUACCAUCCUAAAUAGUUAUGAAUUUAAGGGUCCUCUAUUAAGAAUAUUUCAUCUGUCAAAUAUUUUAAAGGAAUGGGGGUGGAAAGCAGGUGUGACAAAUUUGCAUUUUGGAAAGACCACUCAAUAUGGGGACUGCAGGGGAAUUUUGAUGAGACUAUUUCAGCAAUACAGAUCAGGGUUCAUUAGGUUGGACUGUGAAAAUGGUAAAAUGUAGAUAGAAGAGCAGAUUUGAAACACAAGGUUAACACCUACAAUAGGUUUAGAUAUGAGGAAGGUUUAGAUACAGGUGAAGAAGGCCAAUUCCCAGGUUUUUUGGCUUGCUUAUGUCGGUUGUGCUAUUGUUCCUCUCUCAUUUGUCUAAUAAAUUUUAUUUUGACAUUUCAGACUUACAGAAAAGUUGCAAUAGUACAGAGAAGUCCCAUAUACCCUUUACUCAGACUUGCCAAAUGUUAACAUUUUAUUACAUUUGCUUUAUCUUUCUGAACUUCAAUGAAACUAAGUUGCAGAUACAUGAAAAAUAGGUCAACAUGGAUUUUUCAAAAACAAGGGCAUUACAUAACCACCUGAUGAAAAUCAAGAAAUACCAUUAGCUACUCAAAUUUCACUAUUUCUAUAAUCUUUAGAGAAAAUCCUGAUUAUUCUGCAUUCAGUUUUGUUAUCUCUAAACUUUUAUUAUAUCUGAAACUGUCACUGCCUUUUCUUUGAUGACUGAAUGUUUUUUUAAUGAGUAAAUUGACUUUGGUGGUUCCUGAUAAUUUCCUCAGGAAUAGAUUCCUCAAGAGUGAAUCAUCUAUUCACUCUUCAACCUGUUACAAUUUGUCUUUUCCCUACUUUGUUGUUACUUGAAGUUCGUGCUGUUAUAAUUGCCAACUCUAAUGGACAGUACAGGAUAAACCCAAGCUCUGUGUCAAAGCACACAAACAUCCAUCUGCUUACCUUCACACAAUUUACCUACAAGAGUACCAGGCUAUUUGUAUGUACUUGAAAACAUCACAGUUUUUCAUGGCUCCAUGACAGGUUAAGUGUUUUGUUACCAUGUUAAAACGUUACUUAAUAAGGCCCAACAGCAUUUGAAUUACCUGGGAUCUUGUUAGAAAUACAGAAUCCCAAACCCCAUUCCAGACUUACUGAAUCAGAUUCUGCAUACUAACAAUAUUCCAGGUCAUCUAAACAGAUGCACAUUAAAGUUUUAGAAACUGAUUUGGAACAUUUCACCCUUCCUUUAAAUUCCAAUUACAUUAAAUCCCAGUUAAGUUCCAGUUUAAAGCUAUAGUUGGCAUCUUUCUGGAAUUCUCUUCUAGCCCUUUCCACAUGACUCUUUACCUGUCCUCUGCCUUCCCCUCUUCUUUUUAAAAUGUUUACCAUAUCUGCAUCCCCUGUACCAUUUAGUAUUCAUCUGUGUAUCUGCUUCUCAAUAUUUUAAAAAAUUUUCCUGUGCUUUACCUCUGAUUCUUCAGCACUUAAGUCUGCCUGGCACAGAGAAGAUGCACAGUAAAUGAUGAACUCUAGUUUUACUUAAUUCUACAGAAAUUGCCAACAGUUCAAGAAAAAUUAAUGACCAACUAUUUAAGACAGAUGCUUACAUAAGAUGAAACCUUAUUAAUGCCUAGUUAUUUGGGUUGGGAGUGGUAGGGAAUGAGAAAAUAGGGGAGAGAUGGGAUACAAAACAUUAUGUCAUUAAUUUCUGUAAUAUUACUGAAGCAUUCAACUCAUGUCUUCCAUUCCUAGUUCUUAAUUUCCUAUUAUUAACAUGUCAUUACAUUAUUGGUACCCUCGUAUUAGUUCUGUGCCUAAUACAUUUACACUGCCCUAUUUUUUAAGUCCGAUAAAUAGAGCAGUAUUAGAAGACAUAUAAUCACCUCAUUACACAUAACAGCAUAUGAUUCAUUUUUGCAUACUCUUAGUCAUAUGCAAAUAGUUCAUAUUUCAAAAUGCAGUAGCUUAUUUAAAUAUAUGUAUAAUUGUACUUUUUAUCUAAUUACUUUUGUUACUUUUUCAGGUGGUUUGCCUAACAUUGCUCUUUUUAGAGACAAUGCUACCAAAAUAUUCACUAGCUGUUUUAACUAGUUGCUGUUAUAUUAUUUGUAUUAUGGCCACUCUUAAAGUAAGCAUCUUUAUGCAUACAUUUAAAAAGACUUAGUCACUGGAAAAAUUCCACAAAGUAGAAUUUUAUCAUGAAAAUAAUACCUGGAUGUAACCUGUAUUUUCCUGUAUUUCUUUAGUCUUUUUUUCCCUAAGCAUAGAUAAUUGUUCUUGUCUAUAGUGCUUUCAAUUUUUUUUUAACUUUCUACAGUGAAAAAAUUUCAACAAACACAAAUGAAGAAUAGAAUAAUGAGCUCCCAUAUAUCUAUCAUUCAGCAGCAGCAGGUAUAGACUGGUAACCAAUCGUGUUUCAUCUUGCUCUCCAACUUUUUUGGCUGAAGUAUAUUAAAAGAAAAUCCUAGAUGUAUCUUGUUAUCUGUAUGUCAGCUUUAAUUUCUAACAGUGUGUGUGCAUGUGUUUGUAAUCACAUGCAUUAUUACAUGUAAUCAUUGUCAUUGUACAAUUACAUGUAACAAAUUACAUGUAGUUAAUAAUUCAUUGAUGUUAAAGAGUUGUAAACAUGUAGUUAAUAAUUCAUUAAAAGACAUGUUAAAAUUUC